CGGUGUGUACUGAUUGAGUAUCAGUGCUGUGAAUAACUGCUUUUAACCUUAUACUUAAAGUGAUUCUGACAAAGCCUCUUUUAUACUAAAACAGGAGGUACUUGUUUUCUGACCUAGUAAAGAUUGGGGGGAGACUAUGGAUGCCUGGGCCCCUGUUGCCACAAAUGGUAUGGUUCCUGCGGGGUGGGAAUAGGCAUCUCACACUCCAAAGGGCUUUUUAGGAAUCGUGGAAUCGCACUGCAAAAACUGUCCACACAGUAGCAGACGCCGAGGCUUCUUCUUCCCCUUUUGUCUUCCCUGCGUCACCGGAGGCAACGGUUUUCUGAUGCUACUAUUUACUCAGGACAGGUAACUACCGAAAGAAGACGAUGUGUAAACCAUCAGAAGAGCAGAAAGAGGAACAGGCCUGGAAUCUAUUCUCCAGGAAUUGUUACGCCCUCAGAGUGGUCCAUCCUGAAUGAGCCAGAUCUUGAAGGGAAAAAACAGCAAAUCAACAACUCCAGGGGAACACUAUGGAAAUUGUUUUGCAAUCGUAAACCCAUGAAUCAGUCUGAAAGUUGAUCAAAACUAAAUGCAUUCUGGGGCGCCUGGGUGGCUCAGUGGGUUAAGCCUCUGCCUUCUGCUCAGGUCAUGAUCUCA